UUUAUAUAAAAUGAAUUGUUUUCCAUUCUAUGUUUAUUUAUUAUAAACGGAGCUAAAUUGUAGCUCUAGCUUGGCCGGUGAUUUCUAUGGCGGAUAAACGCUAGCCUAGACAAACCCCAACAAAAAUAAAUUUUUUUUUUUUAAACUAAUAAACUUUCUCUGUCUUCCUUCUUCUUCUUCCGUCUUUCUCCCAUGUGUUGGCUUCCUUAGCUCCAUUCUAAGCUGCUUAAGCUCCAUUGACCAAGCUGCUUAGACUGUGAGGACAAGCCGCGCACGAUAGCGCCCGGGCCUAAAUCUNN
rnacentral:lncRNA from 1 species